rnacentral:rRNA from 1 species
UACAGAGGGGGCAAGCGUUGUUCGGAAUUACUGGGCGUAAAGGGCGCGUAGGCGGCCCGCUAAGUCGAACGUGAAAUCCCCGGGCUCAACCCGGGAACUGCGUCCGAUACUGGUGGGCUUGAAUCCGGGAGAGGGAUGCGGAAUUCCAGGUGUAGCGGUGAAAUGCGUAGAUAUCUGGAGGAACACCGGUGGCGAAGGCGGCAUCCUGGACCGGCAUUGACGCUGAGGCGCGAAAGCCAGGGGAGCGAACGGG